rnacentral:tRNA from 1 species
GGGGCUAUAGCUCAGCUGGUAGAGCACCUGUAUGGCAUACAGGAGGUCCGGGGUUCGAGUCCCCGUAGCUCCACCC